rnacentral:rRNA from 1 species
AGUGAACGCUGGCGGUAGGCCUAACACAUGCAAGUCGAACGGCAGCACAGUAAGAGCUUGCUCUUACGGGUGGCGAGUGGCGGACGGGUGAGGAAUACAUCGGAAUCUACUUUUUCGUGGGGGAUAACGUAGGGAAACUAACGCUAAUACCGCAUACGCCCUACGGGUGAAAGCAGGGGAUCUUCGGACCUUGCGCGAUUGAAUGAGCCGAUGUCGGAUUAGCUAGUUGGCGGGGUAAAGGCCCACCAAGGCGACGAUCCGUAGCUGGUCUGAGAGGAUGAUCAGCCACACUGGAACUGAGACACGGUCCAGACUCCUACGGGAGGCAGCAGUGGGGAAUAUUGGACAAUGGGCGCAAGCCUGAUCCAGCCAUACCGCGUGGGUGAAGAAGGCCUUCGGGUUGUAAAGCCCUUUUGUUGGGAAAGAAAAGCAGCAGGUUAAUACCCCGCUGUUCUGACGGUACCCAAAGAAUAAGCACCGGCUAACUUCGUG